rnacentral:lncRNA from 1 species
UCACACUCUGUUUCUCAUUUCCACAAGUCAAGUCAUACACAAAAGUUAUUUAGCUUUGCCCUAUAUUCUUUCACAAAAAUAACUUACAACUUUUGGUUAAAAUCCUACUUAAAAUAUAAGAGAAAUUAACAAGAAUAUCCCUUAUAUUUGAGGGUAGUUCAAAAUGGCCCCUUAAAUAUACUUUUGAACAAUUUUGGUACUCUAGUUUAAGCUAGCUAAAUGUGAGCAC